AGAGUCUAUGAGGUCUGGGGCGAUUUUCAUUUCGCCCAAAACCAUUUGAAGCAUGAAUUUAGCCUGAUUGGACAAUGACAUUCAGAGGCAGAUCAGACCGUCUAGUGGUAGAAUCGGAUAGAAAAAAAAUAUCUCUUUUUCCCGUUUGGCAGCGCGUCGCCCAAAUCGACCUUAUGGACAAACCGCCCCUGUCAACAACCAGGCUUAUUGGGUGAGAGACACGAGGAGAACGAGAGAAGUGGGGCGGCACAUGAAAGAUGAGUAGGGAAAAACACUUGCGCACGUGGAAGAAGUACUAAGGGGCUAUGCAAAGAAACCACCUUCAGUUAGUAACGUCAAGUCGACGCUGGAGUAUCAGACAUUUGGAAUGCGCGUGGGUAUUUGCAAUUUGUAUUAGUGGCGUGCUUUGAAGUUUAGCUCUCCCAACGGGGGAUAAUAACCUAGCCUACUGCUAGCUCGCUGUCUGUCUGCUAGCACAGUAGUACUAGCAUUCAGCAAUUUUUCCACACUUAAUUAAUCUAGUGGGAAACUUUUCGUCAUGUAGUCAAGUUGGUCAAUAGUCAAGUUAGUUUAGCUUCUGCUCAGUUUUUCCGGACACACUUCUGGUUCCACUGAUUGGCCGUUGAGGGAGCACCGCCACCCGGAUAGCAGCACUGGUGACCAGGGGAAAGCUUCAGAUUCAGCCUCAUGCUUCAGUUCAGUGCUGACUCUAGCUCAGUGCAUGGAGCUGCCACUGAACUCGACAUGUGUGGCCUUGGGACAUAGGACGUUCUCCCAGUUGGUGUUCAGGGUGUCACCUCCCAGGGUCUCGUAGAUGAGCCACGCCAUGGCUUCCUCUCCCUACCCAGCUCCCGCGCCUGGGAAGACGGCCGCCCCGGCUCCCGCUCCUGCGAAGACAGCCACCACAGCCCCCCCUCCCGCUACUACGACCACCCCAGCUCCAGCUCCCGCGAAGACGGCCACUCCAUCUUCAGCUCCUGCGAACACGGCCGCCCCAGCUCCUGUGAAGACGGCCGCCCCAGCUCCUGUGAAGACGGCCGCCCCAGCUCCAGCUCCUGCGAAGAUGGCCACCACAGCCCCCCCUCCCGCUAAGACGACCGCUCCAGCUCCCGCGAAGACCGCCACUCCAUCUUCAG
ensembl:lncRNA